rnacentral:rRNA from 1 species
GAUGAACGCUAGCGACAGGCUUAACACAUGCAAGUCGAGGGGCAUCAUUAUCGAAGCUUGCUUUGAUAGAUGGCGACCGGCGCACUGGUGAGUAACACGUAUGCGACCUGCCCCGGACAGGGGGAUAAACCCGGGAAACUGGGUCUAAUACCCCAUAUGCCCUGAGGACGCAUGUCCUUAGGGUAGAAAGAUCCGUCGGUCCGGGAUGGGCAUGCGGCGCAUUAGCUUGUUGGCGGGGUAACGGCCCACCAAGGCGACGAUGCGUAGGGGUUCUGAGAGGAAGGUCCCCCACACUGGUACUGAGACACGGACCAGACUCC